GGGCCUGUAGCUCAAUGGUCAGAGCUGGCCGCUCAUAACGGCUAGGUUGGGGGUUCGAGUCCCUCCGGGCCCACCA
rnacentral:tRNA from 1 species